CUGUGAACUGCGAAUGGCUCAUUAAAUCAGUUAUCGUUUAUUUGAUAGUACCUUACUACUUGGAUAACCGUGGUAAUUCUAGAGCUAAUACAUGCUAAAAACCCCAACUUUUGAAGGGGUGUAUUUAUUAGAUAAAAAACCAAUGCCCUUCGGGGCUUUUUGGUGAUUCAUGAUAACUUAACGAAUCGCAUGGCCUUGCGCCGGCGAUGGUUCAUUCAAAUUUCUGCCCUAUCAACUUUCGAUGGUAGGAUAGUGGCCUACCAUGGUUUCAACGGGUAACGGGGAGUUAGGGCUCGACUCCGGAGAGGGAGCCUGAGAAACGGCUACCACAUCCAAGGAAGGCAGCAGGCGCGCAAAUUACCCAAUCCCGACACGGGGAGGUAGUGACAAUAAAUACUGAUACAGGGCUCUUUUGGGUCUUGUAAUUGGAAUGAGUACAAUUUAAAUCCCUUAACGAGGAACAAUUGGAGGGCAAGUCUGGUGCCAGCAGCCGCGGUAAUUCCAGCUCCAAUAGCGUAUAUUAAAGUUGUUGCAGUUAAAAAGCUCGUAGUUGAACCUUGGGCCUGGCUGGCCGGUCCGCCUCACCGCGUGCACUGGUUCGGCCGGGCCUUUCCUUCUGGGAAUCUGCAUGCCCUUUACUGGGUGUGUUUGGGAACCAGGACUUUUACUUUGAAAAAAUUAGAGUGUUCAAAGCAGGCCUUUGCUCGAAUACAUUAGCAUGGAAUAAUAGAAUAGGACGUGCGGUCCUAUUUUGUUGGUUUCUAGGACCGCCGUAAUGAUUAAUAGGGGUAGUCGGGGGCAUCAGUAUUCAAUUGUCAGAGGUGAAAUUCUUGGAUUUAUUGAAGACUAACUACUGCGAAAGCAUUUGCCAAGGAUGUUUUCAUUAAUCAGUGAACGAAAGUUAGGGGAUCGAAGACGAUCAGAUACCGUCGUAGUCUUAACCGUAAACUAUGCCGACUAGGGAUCGGGCGAUGUUAUUAUUUUGACUCGCUCGGCACCUUACGAGAAAUCAAAGUC
rnacentral:rRNA from 1 species